rnacentral:rRNA from 1 species
GCAAGUCGAGGGGUAUAGGUUUUCGGACCUAGAGACCGGCGCACGGGUGCGUAACGCGUAUGCAAUCUACCUUUUACAGAGGGAUAGCCCAGAGAAAUUUGGAUUAAUACCUCAUAGUACUACGACUCGGCAUCGAGAUGUAAUUAAAGUCACAACGGUAAAAGAUGAGCAUGCGUCCCAUUAGCUAGUUGGUAAGGUAACGGCUUACCAAGGCAACGAUGGGUAGGGGUCCUGAGAGGGAGAUCCCCCACACUGGUACUGAGACACGGACCAGACUCCUACGGGAGGCAGCAGUGAGGAAUAUUGGUCAAUGGGCGCAAGCCUGAACCAGCCAUGCCGCGUGCAGGAUGACGGUCCUAUGGAUUGUAAACUGCUUUUGUACAGGAAGAAACCUUAGCACGUGUGCUAAAUUGACGGUACUGUAAGAAUAAGGAUCGGCUAACUCCGUGCCAGCAGCCGCGGUAAUACGGAGGAUCCAAGCGUUAUCCGGAAUCAUUGGGUUUAAAGGGUCCGUAGGCGGUUUUGUAAGUCAGUGGUGAAAGCCCAUCGCUCAACGGUGGAACGGCCAUUGAUACUGCAAGACUUGAAUUAUUAGGAAGUAACUAGAAUAUGUAGUGUAGCGGUGAAAUGCUUAGAGAUUACAUGGAAUACCAAUUGCGAAGGCAGGUUACUACUAAUAUAUUGACGCUGAUGGACGAAAGCGUGGGGAGCGAACAGGAUUAGAUACCCUGGUAGUCCACGCCGUAAACGAUGGAUACUAGCUGUUCGGAGCAAUCUGAGUGGCUAAGCGAAAGUGAU